rnacentral:rRNA from 1 species
GAUGAACGCUGGCGGCGUGCCUAAUACAUGCAAGUCGAGCGAACAGACGAGGAGCUUGCUCCUCUGACGUUAGCGGCGGACGGGUGAGUAACACGUGGAUAACCUACCUAUAAGACUGGGAUAACUUCGGGAAACCGGAGCUAAUACCGGAUAAUAUAUUGAACCGCAUGGUUCAAUAGUGAAAGACGGUUUUGCUGUCACUUAUAGAUGGAUCCGCGCCGCAUUAGCUAGUUGGUAAGGAAACGGCUUACCAAGGCAACGAUGCGUAGCCGACCUGAGAGGGUGAUCGGCCACACUGGAACUGAGACACGGUCCAGACUCCUACGGGAGGCAGCAGUAGGGAAUCUUCCGCAAUGGGCGAAAGCUUGACGGAGCCACGCCGCGUGAGUGAUGAAGGUCUUCGGAUCGUAAAACUCUGUUAUUAGGGAAGAACAAAUGUGUAAGUAACUAUGCACGUCUUGACGGUACCUAAUCAGAAAGCCACGGCUAACUACGUG